rnacentral:rRNA from 1 species
UACGGGGGGGGCAAGCGUUGUUCGGAAUUACUGGGCGUAAAGGGCGCGUAGGUGGCUAUCUAAGUCAGACGUGAAAUCCCUCGGCUUAACCGGGGAACUGCGUCUGAUACUGGAUGGCUUGAGUUCGGGAGAGGGAUGCGGAAUUCCAGGUGUAGCGGUGAAAUGCGUAGAUAUCUGGAGGAACACCGGUGGCGAAGGCGGCAUCCUGGACCGACACUGACACUGAGGAGCGAAAGCCAGGGGAGCAAACGGG